GGGGAUAUUAUUUUUGCAGAAGAUGGUAUUUAAUACUUCACUAUUCUACCUGAGAGAGAAAGACCAAGAGGAAGCUUCUAUCAUAUAGCUCAAGUUACUGCUGAGAGUGGUCAGCGGGGUCAGGUCACUUUCUUGACCCAGGGAAUCUGGGAAGUAACACAGAUUGUUGGCUACAAUGCAGAGAGGAACCUUCCCUUUUACUUGAGUACCGAGGAUGGAUCCAUUAACAGAACAUUGUACACUGAGUUUGAACAUUGUGACCAAGGAGAGAAACUGCCUGACAUGUGAUGUAAUUAAUUGAAGGUUGCUCCUACGUCAGUGCAGACUUCAACGACAAGGCAACCCGGUACAUCCUACAGUGCCAUGGUCCUGAUGUACCUCAGACAUUCCUUAAUUCCAUUGAUUCGGCAAACUUCACAGUUUUGGUAGAUAAUGCUGGCGUCAAGGCGGCUCUGGCUGAUAAGGAUUUUGUGAUGAAGACGUUCCACACUGUCAAGUCUUCAGAUGGUAAUUUUGACAUCCAAAUCGAGCUUCUUAUUCCGCGGUCAAUGGAUGAUCAGCGUAGGCAUCCGUUACUGGUUGACGUCUAUGCAGGACCUGGCACACAACAGGUGGAUGCCAAAUAUCACCAGGGCUGGUAUUCAUAUUUGAGUAGUAAUCACCAUGUGAUUAUUGCUCGUAUCGAUGGGCGUGGAUCGGCAUA